GACGAACGCUGGCGGCGUGCUUAACACAUGCAAGUCGAACGGAAAGGCCCUGCUUUUGUGGUGUGCUCGAGUGGCGAACGGGUGAGUAACACGUGAGUAACCUGCCCUUGACUUUGGGAUAACUUCAGGAAACUGGGGCUAAUACCGGAUAGGAGCUCCUGCUGCAUGGUGGGGGUUGGAAAGUUUCGGCGGUUGGGGAUGGACUCGCGGCUUAUCAGCUUGUUGGUGGGGUAGUGGCUUACCAAGGCUUUGACGGGUAGCCGGCCUGAGAGGGUGACCGGCCACAUUGGGACUGAGAUACGGCCCAGACUCCUACGGGAGGCAGCAGUGGGGAAUAUUGCACAAUGGGCGGAAGCCUGAUGCAGCAACGCCGCGUGCGGGAUGAAGGCCUUCGGGUUGUAAACCGCUUUCGCCUGUGACGAAGCGUGAGUGACGGUAAUGGGUAAAGAAGCACCGGCUAACUACGUG
rnacentral:rRNA from 1 species